rnacentral:lncRNA from 1 species
AAUGUUGACCUCGGAGGGUCCUGAAAGGGUAAAGGAAGUGUCGGGGUGGGUGGAGGGGUCCCGGUGUGGGACACCCGGGUGUUUGGGUGACAAAUUCAUGGCCUGGAGGUGACAGGGACAGAGUUGGGGUGACAAGCGCACACCGUGUAGGUGACAGGGACAGAGUUCGGGUGACAAAUGUGCACCCUGGAGGUGACAGGGACAGAGUUGGGGUGACAAAUGGGCGCCCUGGAGGUGACAGAGUCGGGGUGACAUCUUAUGCUGUAGGUGACAGUGAUGAGUUCAGGUGACAAAUGUGCACCCUGGAGGUGACAGAGUCGGGGUGACAUGCUGAAGGUGACAGCGAUGAGUUCAGGUGACAAAUGGGCACCCUGGAGGUGACAAAUGGGUGACAAGCGCACACCGUGUAGGUGACAGGGACAGAGUUCGGGUGACAAAUGUGCGCCCUGGAGGUGACAGAGUCGGGGUGACAUCUUACGCUGUUGGUGACAGCAAUGGGUUCAGGUGACAAAUGGGCACCCUGUAGGUGACAGGGACAGAGUUGGGGUGACAAAUGUGCACCCUGGAGGUGACAGGGACAGAGCUGGGGUGACAAAUGUGCACCCUGGAGGUGACAGCAAUGAGUUCGGGUGACAAAUGUGCGCCCUGUAGGUGACAGGGACAGAGCUGGGGUGACAUCUUACGCUGUUGGUGACAGUGAUGAGUUCAGGUGACAGACGGGCACCCUGGAGGUGACAAAUGGGCAGGGUUCGGGUGACAGCUCGCCCGCCGGGUGACACAACGGUGACACAACGGGGACGCUGUGCCCCCCC